CCGCCACAACUGAUGAAGACGACAUAUUGGGAGGCCGGAGCGUUCAAUUUCCCUUCGCAGCACAACUAGCGACACCGUCUGUGCAGUAAUGUUAUGCUAGUGGCGUUGUCGAGCCUGAUAACGACCAUUCUUCUGAGGUUUCUCGGGAGGAUGUGUGAGCACACGUGUUGACAAGAAAUUUGCCACUCCUGUGCAUUGUACUGCAAUCUCUGCUGCUCCUGACCAGAUAAGUGCAUGC